GACGAACGCUGGCGGCGUGCUUAACACAUGCAAGUCGAACGCCCGUAGCAAUACGGGAGUGGCAGACGGGAGAGUAACACGUGGGAACGUACACUUCAGUUCGGGAUAACCCAGGGAAACUUGGGCUAAUACCGGAUACGUCCGGAAGGAGAAAGAUUUAUCGCUGAAGGAUCGGCCCGCGUCUGAUUAGCUAGUUGGUGAGGUAAUGGCUCACCAAGGCGACGAUCAGUAGCUGGUCUGAGAGGAUGAUCAGCCUCACUGGGACUGAGACACGGCCCAGACUCCUACGGGAGGCAGCAGUGGGGAAUAUUGGACAAUGGGCGCAAGCCUGAUCCAGCCAUGCCGCGUGAGUGAUGAAGGCCCUAGGGUUGUAAAGCUCUUUCGGCGGGGAAGAUAAUGACGGUACCCGCAGAAGAAGCCCCGGCUAACUCCGUGCCAGCAGCCGCGGUAACAC
rnacentral:rRNA from 1 species